rnacentral:rRNA from 1 species
UACGUAGGGGGGCUAGCGUUGUCCGGAUUUAUUGGGCGUAAAGAGCGUGUAGGCGGCCAGGUAGGUCCGGUGUGAAAACUUGAGGCUUAACCUCGAGAUGUCAUCGGAAACCAUCUGGCUAGAGUCCGGAAGAGGAAAGUGGAAUUCCUGGUGUAGCGGUGAAAUGCGCAGAUAUCAGGAAGAAACACCAAUGGCGAAAGCAGCUUUCUGGGACGGUACUGACGCUGAGACGCGAAAAGCGUGGGGAGCGAACAGG